rnacentral:rRNA from 1 species
GCAGCUGAUGGAGCACGCCGCGUGUGUGAUGAAGGCUUUCGGGUCGUAAAGCACUGUUGUAUGGGAAGAAAUGCUAAAAUAGGGAAUGAUUUUAGUUUGACGGUACCAUACCAGAAAGGGACGGCUAAAUACGUGCCAGCAGCCGCGGUAAUACGUAUGUCCCGAGCGUUAUCCGGAUUUAUUGGGCGUAAAGCGAGCGCAGACGGUUGAUUAAGUCUGAUGUGAAAGCCCGGAGCUCAACUCCGGAAUGGCAUUGGAAACUGGUUAACUUGAGUGUUGUAGAGGUAAGUGGAACUCCAUGUGUAGCGGUGGAAUGCGUAGAUAUAUGGAAGAACACCAGUGGCGAAGGCGGCUUACUGGACAACAACUGACGUUGAGGCUCGAAAGUGUGGGUAGCAAACAGGAUUAGAUACCCUGGUAGUCCACACCGUAAACGAUGAAUACUAGGUGUUAGGAGGUUUCCGCCUCUUAGUGCCGAAGCUAACGCAUUAAGUAUUCCGCCUGGGGAGUACGACCGCAAGGUUGAAACUCAAAGGAAUUGACGGGGACCCGCACAAGCGGUGGAGCAUGUGGUUUAAUUCGAAGCAACGCGAAGAACCUUACCAGGUCUUGACAUCCUUUGAAGCUUUUAGAGAUAGAAGUGUUCUCUUCGGAGACAAAGUGACAGGUGGUGCAUGGUCGUCGUCAGCUCGUGUCGUGAGAUGUUGGGUUAAGUCCCGCAACGAGCGCAACCCUUAUUGUUAGUUGCCAGCAUUCAGUUGGGCACUCUAGCGAGACUGCCGGUGACAAACCGGAGGAAGGCGGGGACGACGUCAGAUCAUCAUGCCCCUUAUGACCUGGGCUACACACGUGCUACAAUGGCGUAUACAACGAGUUGCCAACCUGCGAAGGU